rnacentral:lncRNA from 1 species
UUUUUUUUACUAACAAAAUAUAUAUAAAAAAUGUCCAGUGUUAUGAUAACACGUGGCACAUCAAUAAAAAAACAAAAACAAUCAACCUUUCUCUCUCUCUCUCGUUAUGCACUCUGUUAAUUGUUUUAAUGUUUACUCCCGCCUUCUCUUAAACCACAACAAAUAAUCAUACUCUUCAUCAUCACAAAACUCAUACAUAAAACAAACAAUUAGACAAAAAUAGAUAAAAGGAAAAAUUACCGAUCAAAAGUGAUGAAGCAGCGAUGCGGUUGGUGUUCACGGUGGUGGGUCGGACGGAGUUAAGGUGGCCCGUCGUCACCGGAGCUGACAUAAAAUUGAUGGAAACGGUGCUGCAGCGACUGUUCCGAAGGUUGUGUGAGGUGGUGAUGGUAGUGAAGUUUAUGUUGUGGUUUUUCUUUGUGAUUAUUUUAACUUUUUAUUUUGUUCUCUUUACAUUAAGUGGGAGAGAGGAUAUUGAAAUAUGGGUGGACUUAUUAUCUUGAGUGGUAGUUGUGUUGAUGUAUGAGAGUGAAGUUUGUGAAGGUGUUGAAGUGAGAUGUUCACGGUGAUAUGGUGUUUACAUGAGAAAGGUGGAGUUUUUAUGAAUUUUGUUUUUUAUUGUUAUGUUGGGAGUUUGGUGAUUUGAGAGGUUUUGAAGUUGUUUAUGGUAUAAAGAGUAAGUGAUAUUUGUGUAGUUAGAAGAAAAGGUUAUUUGUAUGCUUUUGUGAAAGAGAUAAAUGGUGUUUUAUGGUGAGCUUUGUAAUAAAGUUGAUGAAAAGAACAAGUUUAUGGUUUGUGAAAGUUAUAGUAGAAGUUCAUUUAUUUUUGUGAAAGAUGAUGAAAGUUUGUGGAGGUUAACAAGAUGGUAGCAUGUUAUGAGUUUGGUUCAUAUAAUAUAGUGAGAUGGUUGGUUUGGAAAUGAUUGGUUUCUCUUAGAAAAGUAAAGAGAAAGUUGGAGUGUGUAGUAGUAAUGGUGGUGGUGACACUACAUGAAGAAAAAUAAGGAGAUAAAGUAAUAAAAGAAGAAGGAGUAUGUUGGAUUUAUUUUGGUAAAGAGAAGGUUGUUUUGUAUACGAAAAGAGUGUGUUUUUAUGGUGUAGUGAAGAUGAAUGAAAAUGAAAGAAGUUGAUGUGAGGUUAGAAGUGUGCAGAGGAUAAUGGAGUAUGUAGAUUGGUGUUUUUCAUGUUGAUGGAGGAUGGAGAAAUAUGAGAGGAUUUAUGAAGUUUUUUAUGUGAAUGAAUGGAGAGAAGGUCUAUAUGUUGUAGCAUGAAAAAAAUGUGUUGUAGAAGGAGUAUAAAGGGUUGUUGAUGUUUCUGCAUAUGUGUUUCUUCAUCUCCAAUUUUAUUCCAUUUUUGCUUGAAAUUUCAAUCUAAGAGAGAUUCAUGAAAGGGGCGCCGUUUGGUGUAUUGGAU